rnacentral:rRNA from 1 species
CCUACGGGAGGCAGCAGUGGGGAAUAUUGGACAAUGGGCGAAAGCCUGAUCCAGCUAUGCCGCGUGUGUGAAGAAGGCCUUCGGGUUGUAAAGCACUUUCAGUGGGGAAGAAAGCCUUGGGGCUAAUACCCUCGAGGAAGGACAUCACCCACAGAAGAAGCACCGGCUAACUCCGUGCCAGCAGCCGCGGUAAUACGGAGGGUGCGAGCGUUAAUCGGAAUUACUGGGCGUAAAGCGCGCGUAGGCGGUCUGAUAAGCCGGUUGUGAAAGCCCCGGGCUCAACCUGGGAACGGCAUCCGGAACUGUCAGGCUAGAGUGCAGGAGAGGAAGGUAGAAUUCCCGGUGUAGCGGUGAAAUGCGUAGAGAUCGGGAGGAAUACCAGUGGCGAAGGCGGCCUUCUGGACUGACACUGACGCUGAGGUGCGAAAGCGUGGGUAGCAAACAGGAUUAGAUACCCCGGUAGUC